rnacentral:rRNA from 1 species
GAUUAGAGUUUGAUCCUGGCUCAGGAUGAACGCUAGCGGGAGGCUUAACACAUGCAAGUCGAGGGGUAGGGCAGCGAUGCCCGAGACCGGCGCACGGGUGCGUAACGCGUAUGGAACCUGCCUUUUGCAGGGGGAUAGCUUCCGGAAACGGGAAUUAAUACCCCAUAAGCCCCCGGGCCCGCAUGGGCAAGGGGGGAAAGCUGCGGCGGCAAGAGAUGGGCAUGCGUCCGAUUAGCUAGUUGGGAGGGUAACGGCCUGCCAAGGCGACGAUCGGUAGGGGUCCUGAGAGGGAGGCCCCCCACACUGGUACUGAGACACGGACCAGACUCCUACGGGAGGCAGCAGUGAGGAAUAUUGGGCAAUAGGCGGAAGCCUGACCCAGCCAUCCCGCGUGCAGGACGAAGGCCUUAUGGGUUGUAAACUGCUUUUCUGCGGGGAGAAUCCCCCGGCUUCUGCCGGGGUUGACGGUACCGCAGGAAUAAGCAUCGGCUAACUCCGUGCCAGCAGCCGCGGUAAUACGGAGGAUGCGAGCGUUAUCCGGAUUCAUUGGGUUUAAAGGGUGCGCAGGCGGCGCGGCGAGUCAGUGGUGAAAUCCUGCCGCUCAACGGUAGGGCUGCCAUUGAUACUGCCGUGCUUGAGUCCGGUUGAGGCAGGCGGAAUGUGCAGUGUAGCGGUGAAAUGCAUAGAUAUUGCACAGAACGCCGAUUGCGGAGGCAGCUUGCCAAGCCGGCACUGACGCUGAGGCACGAAAGCGGGGUAGCGAACAGGAUUAGAUACCCUGGUAGUCCACGCCGUAAACGAUGCUCACUCGCUGUUUGCGAUAGACAGCAAGCGGCUGAGCGAAAGCAAUAAGUGAGCCACCUGGGGAGUACGAUCGCAAGGUUGAAACUCAAAGGAAUUGACGGGGGCCCGCACAAGCGGAGGAACAUGUGGUUUAAUUCGAUGAUACGCGAGGAACCUUACCUGGGCUUAAAUGGGGGUUGGCAGGCUGUGAAAGCAGCCCUCCUUCGGGCAACCCCCAAGGUGCUGCAUGGUUGUCGUCAGCUCGUGCCGUGAGGUGUCGGGUUAAGUCCCAUAACGAGCGCAACCCUUACCGUUAGUUGCCAGCGGGUAGAGCCGGGGACUCUAGCGGGACUGCCACCGUAAGGUGAGAGGAAGGCGGGGAUGACGUCAAAUCAGCACGGCCCUUAUGCCCAGGGCUACACACGUGUUACAAUGGCCGGUACAGAGGGCAGCCACUGCGCGAGCAGGCGCUAAUCCCGAAAGCCGGUCCCAGUUCGGAUCGGAGUCUGCAACCCGACUCCGUGAAGUUGGAUUCGCUAGUAAUCGCGCAUCAGCCAUGGCGCGGUGGAUACGUUCCCGGGCCUUGUACACACCGCCCGUCAAGCCAUGGGAGCCGGGGGUGCCUGAAGUCUGCAACCGCGAGGAGCGGCCUAGGGUAAAACUGGUGACUGGGGCUAAUCUCUAGAGGUCCCCCCGG